CCUUCGAUAGCUCAGUUGGUAGAGCGGAGGACUGUAGAUCCUUAGGUCGCUGGUUCGACUCCGACUUGAAGGA
rnacentral:tRNA from 1 species